rnacentral:rRNA from 1 species
UACGUAGGGGGCAAGCGUUGUCCGGAAUCAUUGGGCGUAAAGCGCGCGUAGGCGGCCCGGUAAGUCCGUUGUGAAAGUCAAAGGCUCAACCUUUGAAAGCCGAUGGAUACUGCCGGGCUAGAAUCCGGAAGAGGCGAGUGGAAUUCCUGGUGUAGCGGUGGAAUGCGCAGAUAUCAGGAGGAACACCAAUAGCGAAGGCAGCUCGCUGGGACGGUAUUGACGCUAAGGCGCGAAAGCGUGGGGAGCAAACAGG